AUUGAACGCUGGCGGCAUGCUUUACACAUGCAAGUCGAACGGCAGCGCGGGCUUCGGCCUGGCGGCGAGUGGAGAACGGGUGAGUAAUGCAUCGGAACGUGCCCAGUAGUGGGGGAUAGCCCGGCGAAAGCCGGCUUAAUACCGCAUACGAUCUGAGGGUGAAAGCGGGGGACCGAAAGGCCUCGCGCUAUUGGAGCGGCCGAUGUCGGAUUAGCUAGUUGGUGGGGUAAAGGCUUACCAAGGCGACGAUCCGUAGCUGGUCUGAGAGGACGACCAGCCACACUGGGACUGAGACACGGCCCAGACUCCUACGGGAGGCAGCAGUGGGGAAUUUUGGACAAUGGGGGCAACCCUGAUCCAGCCAUGCCGCGUGCGGGAAGAAGGCCUUCGGGUUGUAACCCGCUUUUGUUCGGGAAGAAAUCCUCUGGGCUAAUACACCGGGGGGAUGACGGUACCGGAAGAAUAAGCACCGGCUAACUACGUG
rnacentral:rRNA from 1 species